UAAUAAAAGUGAAAUAAUUAUAUGGCACUUUUAAAACAAUCCAUAUCCACCUUGUGUGCAAUGUUUUUUCUUUUUUUAUAUCAACUCUUUUUUAAAUACCAAAUUAUCUGAAAUUAUUUUAUGAAUUUUACUUAAUUCAAAAAUA
rnacentral:misc_RNA from 1 species